rnacentral:rRNA from 1 species
UACAGAGGGUGCAAGCGUUAAUCGGAAUUACUGGGCGUAAAGCGUGCGUAGACGGUUACAUAAGUCGGGUGUGAAAGCCCCGGGCUCAACCUGGGAAUUGCAUUCGAGACUGCGUAGCUAGGGUGCGGAAGAGGGAAGCGGAAUUUCCGGUGUAGCGGUGAAAUGCGUAGAUAUCGGAAGGAACACCAGUGGCGAAGGCGGCUCACUGGCCCGAUACUGACGCUGAGGCACGAAAGCGUGGGGAGCAAACAGG